AUUGAUUCUGACAGCUUUUAUUUUAUGUGAUUUCCAAGAAUUGAUAUAGGAAUGCUUCUUAAUUGAAAUAGUUCUCCUUUUUUGGUUUUUAUUUUAUUGUCCUUUACUUCUUGACAUCUUGUACAUUAAAUCAAAGGCUGUUUUAGAGACAUGAAAUGACAGCUUUUUCAGAGUCCGAUUCUGGAUCCUGAUAGAUCUGCAUUUCUCAAAGCAGACAAGUUGCUCUCGCCAGCCUUGGAGAAGCUUCCUGCAUGAUGGGCACGUCACGUUCCAAUAAAACUUUAUUGACAUAAACAGGCAGCAGGCUGGAUUUGGCCUGUAGACUGGAGUUUGCUGAUCCUUGUUGUAGAUUUACUCUUUUUUCUUUUCAUUCCUCCAAUUUGCCAAGGCUUUCCAACCAGAGGGUUCACCUCAGAUCUUCCCUGGGCUGCCUCUUCUGGCCACUGCAUCCUCACCACCAUCUCUCUUCCUAAAUGUAGUACCUGAUGCUUACGUGAGGCUCAUUGUGUGCGCCUUGAUGCUAGGGAAUUUGGACUUCAUUAUCUAGGCAAGAAUAGGAGUGGGAAGGAGAGGCAUCUAGUAACAGCUUUAACACGUGAAAGCUAGAUAUCAAAGAGCUCCCUGAUAUUCUUGUUGAGUGGAGGUUUUGAAUCUAUGGUUCAAAGGCUACUUGAUGUCUCCUUGGUCUCUGGGUGGUCUGUGGACUCCCCUCUUAUAAUAUUGAUUGGGACAGGACUCUACCUUCAUGGCUGUCAUGUGAACUAAUGAUUGACAAUGGCCCUUAUCAAAAUCAGUUCCAUUUUCCUCAUUCCUUGUAAUAAAGUUUACCCUCUCUACAUCUGUUCCCACCGCCUGCCCCAGCAGUAGUGGGAGGUGAUUCCUGAGUGUUGUUAUAUUGGAGUGGCCCCAAGAAGUUCUAGAACUACUGCUCCAGAAGACCUCAGCCAUGGAGAUAAUGUCACACCUGAUUGUCUUGAAUGGCUUUAUCCAGGUUAGCCAGUCUUCUGAGCCCUAGGUCAAACCUCCCAGCCACCUCCCAGCUGGGAUGAUUACAAAUGGACUCACCCUUAGUCUAGUAAGUUGCCUGGCAAGCGUGGUCAUCUCUGAUGACUUUGGAGACUGUCCAGUUUUCAUGUCCACUAAUUAGGCAGUUAUUCACGCUUCAUUUCACUUACUCAAAGGGCUCCCUUCCGAUCGGAACACUUGUGAAGUUCUUCUGUGACUUCACGAUGUUCCAGAUGAAGUACGUCUUCUUCCCUUUUGGAAUCAAAUGCCCCUCUAGGAUUGAGUCUCUUUUACCCAAACCACUUUUGAAUCUUGUCAACUUUGUCUGAAAAGAAAUCCUAAAAACAAAUGAACAAAUGGACUCGGUCCACGGACACCUAGCCAAGACUGUCUCUGAGAAGAAUGACAUGCCUUCAGCAUGAAGUAGCUACAAGAAAAGGACAUGUAAUUAAGGAGGAAAAAAAAAAUCAGAAACUGGAGCCAUUAAAGAGACUGUGAUAUGAGGAAAACAUUGUACAGGAGAUGUGACCGAAGAUCUCAGAUCUGAGAACUGAAAGGGAAUGAAACUAGUUAAAAUUCCACUGCUCAUUCGCUCCACGGGAGAAAUAACAUUCCUGUGCGAUGCCACUUGCCACUUCAUUUUUAG
rnacentral:lncRNA from 1 species